CCCAAGACUUGGAGAGGUAAAGGCAUUCACCCAGAGUCCCAAGUGUAGGCAGUGGCAGAGCGGGGAUGGGAACCCAGGGAAUGUAAUUCCAGAGCCCACCUUUUCCAUCACUUGCUCUAUUGGAGAGCCCCGAUAUUGGAGACAAAGGGGAAUAGAGGUGGGAAGUCCCCAAGACCAGGGAAUGCAGGGAGCACUGACCUUCCUUGUUCUCCCCAGAGCCCUGUGUGAAGAGGAGCUGGUACUGUCGAUUUGGGAAGUUGGCUGGAAAAAACUUAUUCAUGAAGGGGCUGGAAGGAAAAGACAAAGCAAGUUGGCAAACAGGGUCCCCGCGAGCACCCACAGGCCCAACACCACCCUGGAGGCACCCACUCACAUCUCUUACUUCCCGGCACCCUCACAGCUGCCCUGAUGGGGAGGAGGUAUCAUCCCGAUUUUGCAAUUGGAAACAGAGGCCCUCAGAGAUUAUUAAGAGGAUUAAAUGAAUGCUUGGCAGCCUGUAAACUUAACUGCAGCUUCUACUUCAAGCAAGAAGUCUCCAGACUGAUGACUUGGUUAUCCCGAGAAAGGAAGGGUUGCUGGAAAACACAGAGCAAGAGUCAAGCAACCUGGCUGGUGACCCUGAACUUGGGAAGAGCAUGGGCUGCGAAGUCAGACAGACCUGGACUCAAAAUAUCCGCUGCCCCUACCAGCUGGGCAUCCCGGUGGUCACACAAGCCCUCAGAGCCUCACCUUCCCUGAAUCCCACCUUCAGACCCUUUGGAUCCUGAUGGAGGUCUGACUCCAAGUCUGUGCAUAUAAACAGCUCAUGGAAAUUCUAACUACACUGUAGACUUUCUUUGAGAAAGUAUUUAAGAAAACUGGAUUUGACUGAAGGAGAAAAAUAAAUUUAAUUUUUGGCUCAACUUUCUAAA